rnacentral:rRNA from 1 species
UCAUUUAAAGAGUGCGUAACAGCUCACUAGUCGAGCGAUCGGGCAUGGAUAAUAAACGGGCAUUAAGUGUAUCACCGAAGCUAUGGACUCGAAAGAGUGGUAGGGGAGCAUUCUAACAUCAGUGAAGCUAUACGCGUCAGCGGUGGUGGAGAGGUUAGAAAAGCAAAUGUAGGCAUAAGUAACGAUAAGGCGGGAGAGAAACCCGCCCACCGAAAGACUAAGGUUUCCUGAUCAACGCUAAUCGGAUCAGGGUUAGUCGGGGCCUAAGGUGUACCCGAAGGGGGAAGCCGAUGGACAAUGGGUUAAUAUUCCCAUACUUUUUAUAACUGCGAUGUGGUGACGGAGUAGUGACACUGCCGCGAUCUGACGGAAUAGAUCGUUAAAAGGCGUAGGUAUUGGACUGGUAGGCAAAUCCGCCGGUCUAGCUGAAACCCAAUAGUACUGCAAACCUUCGGGGGCGUAGAUAGAGCAGGUAAACAGACUUCCAAGAAAACCCGCUAAGCUUCAGGUUAUAAAAACCCGUACCGUAAACCGACACAGGUAGUCGAGGAGAGAAUCCUAAGGUGCUCGAGUGAAUCAUGGCUAAGGAACUCGGCAAAAUGGCCCCGUAACUUCGGGAGAAGGGGCGCCAAUGGCAACAUUGGCCGCAGUGAAAAGGCCCAGGCGACUGUUUAACAAAAACACAUGGCUUUGCAAAAUCGAAAGAUGAGGUAUAAGGCCUGACACCUGCCCGGUGCUGGAAGGUUAAGAGGGGAUGUUAGUCGCAAGGCGAAGCAUUGAAUCGAAGCCCCAGUAAACGGCGGCCGUAACUAUAACGGUCCUAAGGUAGCGAAAUUCCUUGUCGGGUAAGUUCCGACCUGCACGAAUGGUGUAACGAUCUGGGCGCUGUCUCAGCCAUGAGCUCGGUGAAAUUGUGGUAUCGGUGAAGACGCCGGUUACCCGCAACGGGACGGAAAGACCCCAUGCACCUUCACUACAACUUAACAUUGAUAUUGGAUACAGGAUGUGUAGGAUAGGUGGGAGUUAUUGAAGCGGGUUCGCCAGGAUUCGUGGAAACAACCUUGAAAUACCACCCUUUCUGUAUACGGUGUCUAAUCCCGCCCAGCGGGAGACAUUGUUUGGUGGGUAGUUUGACUGGGGUGGUCGCCUCCAAAAGAGUAACGGAGGCUUUCAAAGGUAAGCUCAGUACGCUUGGUAACCGUACGUGGAGUGCAAUAGCAUAAGCUUGCUUGACAGUGAGACCAACAAGUCGAUCUGGGUCGAAAGACGGAUAUAGUGAUCCGGCGGUUCCGUAUGGAAGGGCCGUCGCUCAAAGGAUAAAAGGUACGCUGGGGAUAACAGGCUGAUCUCCCCCAAGAGC